GACGAACCGUGCGAACGUUGUUCGGAAUCACUGGGCGUAAAGCGCACGUAGGCGGAUGUGUCAGUCAGGGGUGAAAUCCCGGGGCUCAACCUCGGAACUGCCUUUGAUACAGCACGUCUUGAGUCCGAUAGAGGUGGGUGGAAUUCCUAGUGUAGAGGUGAAAUUCGUAGAUAUUAGGAAGAACACCGGUGGCGAAGGCGGCCCACUGGAUCGGUACUGACGCUGAGGUGCGAAAGCGUGGAGAGCAAACAGG
rnacentral:rRNA from 1 species